CAUCCAUUUUGGUUAGAUUGAUUCUGUUUUCCGGGUGACUGCAAGCCAUAAUCAGAAGAUCCUGCAAUGCUCGGCUUUGCAAUGGCUUUGGUGCAUAUGGAAGUGAUCUUAAAAGAAUCAAUAAAAGUUGGAUAUGCUCAAACCGAUGCCCAGAGUCAUAGAAGUUCAACCCUUCAUCUGUUGACGAGGCAUUUAUCGAGGCGCCCAAUAAAGCUGUGUAUACUCUGCUAGUCAUGAGCCUAUUUGGUGCUGCCUGGAAGGCCUUUUGUAAUGCAAAAAGUAGAAGGG
rnacentral:misc_RNA from 1 species